GGCCCCGUAGCUCAGCUGGUUAGAGCGUCUGUCUUACACACAGAAGGCCGUCUGUUCGAAUCAGACCGGGGCCAC
rnacentral:tRNA from 1 species